UACGUAGGGUGCGAGCGUUGUCCGGAAUUAUUGGGCGUAAAGGGCUCGUAGGCGGUUUGUCGCGUCGGGAGUGAAAACACCGGGCUUAACUCGGUGCUUGCUUUCGAUACGGGCAGACUAGAGGCAUGCAGGGGAGAACGGAAUUCCAGGUGUAGCGGUGAAAUGCGUAGAUAUCUGGAGGAACACCGGUGGCGAAGGCGGCAUCCUGGACCGGCAUUGACGCUGAGGCGCGAAAGCCAGGGGAGCAAACGAG
rnacentral:rRNA from 1 species